ACAAGCACCAAUCACGAUCGAGGAGUGAAACAGGCACCAAGAUGACCCCCCCACCACCACUUAGCUCGGUUCCAGGGGGCCAACUCAGUUGCUGUGGGAACAGCCUGGAAUCGCCCUCCACUGAAGGGAACCGAGUCGACCUGAGCUCCCUUCUGUAGUUGGGAAAGCCCCCAAGUGUCUGUUGUGGGAAGAGGAAGAAAAGCAGGUUGUAAG